rnacentral:rRNA from 1 species
AGGAUCACUAGUGAUUAAAUCGAGAGUGUCUUCAUUGACCUCUCACCCUUCACAUCCACAUACACCUGUGCACCGUUUGACUCUUUUAAAAGACGCAAGUCUGCAAAGAGAGUCAUCAAUUUUAUACAUACCCCAGUCUUAUGAAUGUAACAGUUUUAAUAAACAUAAUAAAACUUUUAACAACGGAUCUCUUGGUUCUCGCAUCGAUGAAGAACGCAGCGAAAUGCGAUAAGUAAUGUGAAUUGCAGAAUUCAGUGAAUCAUCGAAUCUUUGAACGCACCUUGCGCUCCUUGGUAUUCCGAGGAGCAUGCCUGUUUGAGUGUCAUGAAACUCUCAACCUUCAACUUUUUUUAUUAAGGCUGAAGGCUUGGACUUGAGCGCUGCUGGUUUUCACUAACCGGCUCGCUUGAAAUGAAUUAGCAGAUCCUUUUUGUAAUCGGUUCCACUCGACGUGAUAAGUAUUUCGCCGAGGACAUACGAAAGUAUGGCCGAGAUAAGAGAAGUCUUUUAGAUCCGCUUCUAAUUCUUAGAUCAAGCUUGCUUGACUAAACCCCAUUUUAUGAUCUGGCCUCAAAUCAGGUAGGACUACCCGCUGAACUUAA